rnacentral:rRNA from 1 species
CAUAGUAAUUAGCUUUUUAAUUGAAAGCUUGUAUGAAUGGUUGAACAAGAGAAACACUGUCUCUUUAUUAAAGUUUGAAUUUAACUUUUAAGUGAAAAGGCUUAAAUUUGUCAAGUGGACGAUAAGACCCUAUAAAGCUUUAUAAAACACAAAAAAUUUUAGAAACUUGUUUAUAAAAGAAAAUUUUUUAGAAAUUAUUAUGUUGGGGCGACACAGAUAAAAAUAUGAGUAACUGUCAGUAGAAAGAACAAUUAUUUUUGAUUAACAAUGAUCCUUUGUAAAGAUUAAAAGAUUAAGUUACUUUAGGGAUAACAGCGUUAUUCUUUUUGAGAGUCCUUAUCAAAAAAAGAGUUUGCGACCUCGAUGUUGAAUCAUAAAAUCUUUACAGUGCAGCAGCUGUAAAAA